AUUGAACGCUGGCGGCAUGCUUUACACAUGCAAGUCGAACGGUAACAGGGUGCUUGCACCGCUGACGAGUGGCGAACGGGUGAGUAAUGCGUCGGAGCGUGCCGAGUAGUGGGGGAUAACGCAGCGAAAGUUGUGCUAAUACCGCAUACGUACUGAGGUAGAAAGUGGGGGACCUUUGGGCCUCACGCUAUUCGAGCGGCCGACGUCUGAUUAGCUAGUAGGUGCGGUAAAGGCUCACCUAGGCGACGAUCAGUAGCGGGUCUGAGAGGAUGAUCCGCCACACUGGGACUGAGACACGGCCCGGACUCCGACGGGAGGCAGCAGUGGGGAAUUUUGGACAAUGGGCGAAAGCCUGAUCCAGCCAUGCCGCGUGUGUGAAGAAGGUCGUCGGAUUGUAAAGCACUUUAAGUCGGGAGGAAGGGCUGUAGGCUAAUACCUUGCAGUUUUGACGUUACCGACAGAAUAAGCACCGGCUAACUUCGUGCCAGCCGCCGCGGUAA
rnacentral:rRNA from 1 species